UACAGAGGGUGCGAGCGUUAAUCGGAAUUACUGGGCGUAAAGCGCGCGUAGGUGGUUUGUUAAGUUGGAUGUGAAAGCCCCGGGCUCAACCUGGGAACUGCAUUCAAAACUGACAAGCUAGAGUAUGGUAGAGGGUGGUGGAAUUUCCUGUGUAGCGGUGAAAUGCGUAGAUAUAGGAAGGAACACCAGUGGCGAAGGCGACCACCUGGACUGAUACUGACACUGAGGUGCGAAAGCGUGGGGAGCAAACAGG
rnacentral:rRNA from 1 species